rnacentral:sRNA from 2 species
UAAUCUUGAACGCUGAGUUCUUUCUAUGGCCUACCCCAUAGAAAGAAGCGGGGGACCCAACACUUGGGGUGAAUCUCCUUCAUAAUAGGGAAUGAGACCCUAUUAUGAGGAGUAGGGUUACCUCUUCAACCCGAACCCGUCAGCUAACCUCGUAAGCGUGGAAAGAGGAGGU